rnacentral:rRNA from 1 species
UACGGAGGGGGCUAGCGUUGUUCGGAAUUACUGGGCGUAAAGCGCGCGUAGGCGGCUUAGCAAGUUAGAGGUGAAAGCCCGAAGCUCAACUUCGGAAUUGCCUUUAAAACUGCAAAGCUAGAAUCAUGGAGAGGUGAGUGGAAUUCCGAGUGUAGAGGUGAAAUUCGUAGAUAUUCGGAAGAACACCAGUGGCGAAGGCGACUCACUGGACACAUAUUGACGCUGAGGUGCGAAAGCGUGGGGAGCAAACAGG